ACAUACAAUGAAAUUAUGGAGUAUUAAUGGUGCUUAACCACUGUCAGGAAUUAAGCAGAAUUAACACGAGUCUUUCUCUGAACAGACAUAGUUUUGAUAGGGCUGAUUAAGGAUUUGGCUAUCUAAGGAAACUCAUUAUAGUAUUAAUUAGGAUACAAUGAGCACCAAACUGUGUUGUUUUGGCAGAUUUCUGCAUGGUGCCACACAAUUGGUGAGAGGCUUAAAGCUCAUCACAUGAACCCUGAAGUUUUUGGAAUCAAUACAACUUCUUUCUAAAUGAUUGAUUUUUAAGCUUUUUAUCUUCUCUUUGCCUUGCAGGGUUUUGAAAAUUCCCUCAUAAUCACAAAGAUGGCAAAUAUUUUGGACUAUCUUAUACACAAUAAGCAGAUAGAAGAUAUUUAAGUUUCUCUGUGGAAAUAUUUUUAAAGGACGAUCAGAUUUUACUCAAAUUUUAAAAUAGAAGUGUCAGAUAACUUUUGUCUGACUCAAACUAAGGCCUAGAAUUUUAGCUUUUAAGAUGUACUAACUUAUUUGUAAUGCUGUUGAGAACAUCUAAGGUCUCCUUUUAUCACACUAAUGCAAUUUGUCUGAAAUAACUUUUGUAGUGUUUUACUUAAAAUAAGCUAACAGUAAUUAAUGCUUCCCUUUAAAAAUGUUUGUAUCUGUAGUUUGCUACAUACAUUUCAGACAAGAGAAACCCUGUCACAACAAUAGUAAGGGAAAUACUUUCUGAAAUAAAAUAACAAAAAAUUAAAGGUUUUAGGGGAAAAAAAGGACUCCUUUGCUGUUUAUUCAAAUUUGUUAAAGUUUUUCUCUAAUACAGAAAACAAGGUCUUUUGGGUAAUGUAAUUGUUGACCAUUGGUACUCAUCCUCUACAAGUGAGCAUCCCUGUAGGGAUCAGAGUGUAAAAAGCAGAGUUGCAUGCAGUCCUGCCAUGAAACUCAGGUGUCCAUGAGUUAUAAUGCAGUAUUUAGUAUCAGAGUGCUUGUCUUGAAACAGAAGCCAUUGAGCAGUAAACCUAACUACCUUUGGAAAGAACUUUCCCAUAAUUAUUAACUAGCAAGGAAAAGUCCAAAUGGCUUCAGUAACCCCUGAGGCAAAGCCAGGGACUUGCCACGCUCACUGGCACCCAAUGGAGAAAGGUGUGUGCAACAGGGAAAGGGGGGAAGGGCUGGCGGGGGGUGCUUCACCUCAGGGAAAAAGUUGCCAGCAGAGCCAUUGCUGCCCUCUCCUGGAAGUGUCCCGGGAGAAAAUGUCCAGGAGACAGGGGCCGGAGAACGGUCCACAGAAGACAUGCCGAAUCAGCACAUCUCACAGGAGCUCUAGGCCGCUUGUUUCAUUCAGGUUUUCAGCGGCGCUGGGCUGGAAACCCAUUCUGUUCAGAAACACAGCAUGGAAAAGAGUUUCCUACCUCUGUGUAUCUUCCUUGAUUGGAGUUUCAAGUACAAAUUCACCAUCUUUUUAACAUUCAAAAAGCAGUGCAUUUGGCAAAUACAAGCGAGCCCGCUUUCUUCAUCUGCCCUGGGUGAGCCCACUGACAGACAUCUCACACCUCUCUGAGAGCCAGGAGUGCCUGAGGUCACGUCCAGCUCUUGGGUAGAGGGUCCAGGGGAAGACAGAUGGCACUGUCUCUCUGAGGGGCAAGGUUUCUCUGCCGGACCAAUAUUUAGAGGUUUUGGUUAAACUUUGGAAAAGAAGAAUGGCAGAUGUUCUCAUAUUGAGGCUGAGGCUAGGACUGAUAAACUGGUCAGCAAUACCUCAUCCAGCUGUUACAGCAGGAGUUAGAGGCACAGAUCCUUUCACUAAGAUAAGAUCUCAGGUCCACACAGGAUCCUUGAGCAAUUGACUGGCCUCAUAACCAAUCCAAGAAGCUUGCUUGUUCAAACACACCAAAUCUGCUUAUCUUUGAAUGGUAUUUAUGCACAUUUGAAACUUGACUCAGGGGAAGAAUGUAAAAAAAUAUAAUUGUCAUCUCAGAUUACUAGAACUAAAGCUGGAAAAGAGAACAAUUCCCAGUUUGCAUCAUGAUGAAGUAAGAUUUACUUCCAUGAGUGCAUCAGUCUUUAGACAGGGAAAUAUUAAAGGUCUGCGACGUGUGUUCCUUGCACUUCUAAUUCCAGCCGCAUAUUCAGUUAAAAAAUUAUUGCUCCAAUGGUGUUAAUAUUUCACACAACACAUUUUAUUAUGCUGUCUAGUGGUCUAAGUGAGGAAAAUAGAAUGGAAGUUUCCAUUUUGUUCCCAUUAUUAGCUCUACUGAGAACUCCAUAUAACCAAAAUUGCCAAAUAUCCAAAAUCUCAGUGUUAGAAAAAGCUCAAAGAAAGCAACUCUCCACAUGUGGCUUUGUGUACAAAAGAAUUUCCAUGGUGAGAUGACUAAUCCUCGAGUAACUUGUCACAACUAUAAUUACUUUAAUAAUAUUGUAAUUAAUUAGGAAGUAUACUCCACCUUCUAUCUCUUCAUUCACCUUCCAUUGCACUGAGUCAAAUAAAUUGCAGUUACAAAACACUUUUGGUCCAAAACUCACUAUAAGGACAAGAUGCAGUAUUAUCCAAGCAAUAAAAAAAAAAAAAAAGUAGUUUUCUUCUGAAAACAGCAAAUAUUGAAUUUUUACAGAAGGGGGGAGAGGAAUCAAGUAUUGUUGGAUGGCCUCAUCCAUCUGAACAUUAGCUUCACAAUCUAGGUCUCGCAUAGAAUGUGGGAACCAUCAGGACCUAUUAAGGAAUAGCUGUUCUGAUUUUCAUAGUGCUUCCUGAGCUGUGCUUCACUCACAUCAGGAAAUGCUUCUAUUUGCACUCUUGAAGCAAAGAAAGUCUCAGGUAAAGCAAGACUUAGAAGAUCAGUCUUGUCUGGACACCUAAAUACUGAACAAGUGUUGGUCUUUCAGCUGGAGUAAUGUAAACUGAAGCCUUAGAAACAGGUCUCAAGAGCAGAGUUGAAAGAACACAUGUAUACCCUAAGAGGAAAAUUACUUACAGCAAACUUUUGUCCAGUAAAAUUGCCAGUCACUUUUAUUUUCUGUAAAUUAAAAAAAAAAAAAAAAAGAUAGGAAUAGGAACACAUAGAAAAAGAAUCCCUAGAAGCAUACUGAAGCAGCUAUUCAUAAUUAAUUAUUGUGUUCACCUAGAUGCUGACAGGACACAAAACAAAUGAAGCGGAAAAGCUGCUUCUCCUAGAACUAGGGUACAAUAUAUCUUAAUACUUAGGAACAAGAAAUUCAAAAGUGGGAGGACUGCAGCAGAGUCAAGAGCUGACAAACACAGUCAUGAAUGAGAAAGCCUGCAUUGAUUAUGAUGAGAUAAGUGAGGAAGCUGACUGUGAGGUGAGGAACUAGGAGGCUUUCUGUAAGAUGAGAUACUUGGUAAGGACUGUUGUGAGACCCUUGUCAUUCAGAUGAUAAUCUAGAGUAAACCUUCCCCAUCUAUCACGUGCCUUCACAGGUAUUGAAAGAAGAACUGACAUCACAGACAAAUUUUCAAAUAUGUAAAUACAGGCAAAUAAAUAAAGGAAAAGCUGAUUACAGAAAGACACCUGAUAUCUUUUGUCUGAGAUUCAAGUUGAAAGGUAUAAAUUAUUCCCAUAGCAUGAUUGCACAAUAAAGUAAAAAACACUCCUCAAGGAGAGUGUUAUAUAUUUCAUUUAUUAUACAUCACUCUUAUGUUUACAACUGAAAUACAUCUUUCCUUGGGGACCGUACCAUCAUUUAUUUUAAAUCAAUGUUUAAAAUUAAAUGGUAAUCCUCAAGAGAGUGAAGACUCUUCAGUUACCAGCCCUUCCAAUUCAAAAUCUUUCUUUCAUGUUUCUAUUUAAUACUCAAUCCAGGGUUUGAAAUUAAUUAAAAGAUAUCCUUUCUCUAAUCUUUUGAUUACUAGCUUCAAAGUUGGUUUUUUUUUUCUUUUUCUUUUUUUUUUUUUUUUCCCAAAUAAAAUUAUAAUAACUUCAUGUCUUAGCCGUUCUAUUAGGUUUGCCUGGCCAGGUUUUGGUACUGGCAGGACUAUAGGGGUAGCUACAGGGCUUCUGUGAGAAGCUGCCAGAAGGUUCCCCUGUAUUUGAUGGAGCCAAUGCCAGCUGGCUCCAAGACCAACAUGCUCCUGGCCAAGGCCGAGCCCAUCAGAGAUGCUGGUAGUGCCUCUGCAUUUAAGGGGAGGGGAAAGUUACUGUGCAAGAGCAUUCAGAGAAGAAUACAUGAGAACCACAGCCCUGCCCACACGAAAUUUAGUGAAGGAGGGGACAAGGUGCUCCAGAGCAGAGUUUUCCCUGCAGCCUGUGGUGGGGAGACCAUGGUGGGUCAGGCAUGCAGCCCAUGGAAGUCCAUAGUGGAGUGAAUAUCCCCAUCUGCAGCCUGUGGGGGACCCCAGUUCCAGUGCAGGGGAUGCCAAAAGGAAGCUAUGACCCCAUGGGAAUCCCAUGUUGGAGCAGGCUCCAAGUGGGACCUGUGGUCCCACGGAGAGAGGAGCCCACACUGCAGCAGUUUUGCUGGCAGGACCUUCUCUCUUGUGGAGGACCCACACUGCAGCAAUUUGUCCCUGAAGGACUGCACCCUGUGGAGAGGGACCCAUGCUGGAGGUGUUUAUGAUGAACUGCAGCCUCUGGGAAGGACUGACAUUAGAGAAGUUUAUGGAAAAUUGCCUUCUAUGGGAGGGACCCCACUCCGGAGCAGGAGAAGAGCGUGAGAAGUCCUUACUCCUCAGAAGAAGGAGCAGCAGAGCCAAUACGUGAUGAACUGACAGCAGCUCCCAUUCCCUGUCCCCCUGUGCCACUGGGGGAAGAGAAAGAGGACAUGGUGGGUAAAGGUGAGCCUGGGGAGAAGGGAGGGGUGAGGGGACAGUGUUUAUGAGAUUUGGUUUAUUUUUAAUUAUCUUACUUUGAUUUGCUAAUUAAUAAAUUAAACUAAUUCCCCUGAGUUGAGUCCAUUUUGCCCUUGAUGGUGACUGGUGAGGGAUUUCUCCCUGUCCUUAUCUUGACACGUGAGCCUUUUGUAGUAUUUCUUCUUCCCUGAAGAGGGGUGUGAUAGAGUGGCUUUAGUGUGUACCUGUCAUCUGGCCAGGGACAACCCACCAGAGUAGUAUAUUCAAAUUGUUAUUAAAUGCACUAACUGCAUUAUCUUCUGACCAAUAAUUGAAGGAGAAGAGUUUGGUGGGGGAAAAUGAUAGGUUCUUGCUUAGGAACAGUCAGUAGUGACUAGUCUAUUUUUGGUGUUAAUUGUAGUUUCCCUCUAUUAAAAUCAAAUAUAAGGAGAAACUGUUAAAAGGAUGCCAUGUUUAAUGUCACUCGGUGACUUUUGCUGCAACUUGGGACACAAAUUUGCCACAUGAUAUUCAACAGCCACUUCACUUGUGGAAGGUACCUUUUUCUCAAGAUCUUCAUACAAACUGAGUACUGCACUGUGGGGGAAUGCAGACACCCCCUCACAGUUUGCAGAGGUCGGAUCUGGCCUACAUAUGGAGCCAGGAAAUCUGCACUACAAAUCUUUGUCAUCUCUUUAUGUUUUCAUCUCCUAUUAGCAUCCUGACACACUCAUAGCAUGCUUGACCUGGUGUGUUGCUUGCAUGAGUUACAUGGGAAAAAUACAGGACUUCAGCAGCUUGAGCUAGCAAUGCAAUGCAUUUCAUCACCUUCAUAGAAUAUUUUGAAAAGAAAAGAAAAAAAUAAGAUUCCUGGCUCAUGAAAAUAUAUUCAAAAUCGGUGGACCCAUAAACACAUCUGUGUUCUAGAUCAUUUCAGAUCUGACACUUUUCACAGGCUCUGGUCUGUAGAGAAAUAGCCUUAAAGUACUAAUAACCCCAAACUCAGCUUCAUGCUGCCCCACUCUUAUGCAUUCAUGAGGUCUCACUGUCAUUCAAGGAGUCCACAAGGACACUCAUCAUUGAUUGCAGAAGUAGGGAUUUACUGAAUAUAGUCUGUACAGGAUUAAAAAUAUACCCCCUCUACUCAAAUAUGGAUUUAAACCCUGCACAAGAGCUCUCUACUAGGAAGAGAACUCAAACAUGCAUGGCAUCUUACUGAGGGCUCAGCCUCUCAUUCAGAUAGGGUUUCCUAAAAAUCAUAGCUCUUCCUAGACAUGGCUACCUUUAAACAGCUCUACAGAUAGCCAUGUGGACUGAGAAGUACAGAUGUAGGAAAUCUUCAUUCCAAAAACCUACUUUGACCCUGCUCCUAAAUUAUUCUGGGAGGCAUAGCCAGCAUAUACCUUUCUCUAUAAAGACAAAGUGAGCAGAGAGUGUGGCUGCAGGAAUGGAGAUAUUUUCCAAAGGAAAGGGAGGAAAAAAGCCAUACAACAGUACAAGAGUCUGCUAAUGAGGUCACACUUCACUCAGUGCAAUGGAAAAUACAAUUUUAUGAUACUUAAAGAAAAUUGUUAAUAUAAUAAGACUUUUAUCAAAGAUUAGUUUGAAAUGGAAGUUGCUAAUAAGAGGAUAGAAAGUAACUAGAACAGUAAGGGAAAUGUAUUGUAACAGCAACUUUCACAUAAUUUGAAGACUUUUGUUCUUUCAUGUCACAUUAGUGACUUUCAUAUACCUUUUUGCAAUUUUCAUAUGGUAUUAGUGGCAUUUGCGUCUUAGAAGCAACUUUUCAUAUAUGCUCUCCGAGAGACUUUUGGCAUGUGCUGGCAGCUUUCAUAUUUUAUUUAGGAUUUUAACUUACUGUCAAAUGUUCCACUCCACAAAGAUGAAAAGGAAGUCAUUGAUGCUGUGUUUCUUAAACUUCUUAAUAAUAGGGUAGAUAACAAUAGCUGCAGUUUGAGGAAAAGAAAAUCCCACACCUUUGUUGCAUUUUGGGGAGCAGGCGGUGUGGUCCCUGAAACCUGCAGCUACGCAGAUGGAAAAUUAUAUUUUAUGGUUAAUUAAAAUUUCUCAUAGGAAGGUGGCCCCUGAAGCUCUCCCAGAAAAUAAAUAGAAAAGGAAUCAGAAAGUUGGUUGUUUUUCUCCCUUGAGCAGACUAUUCAUCCCACUGUAAGACCGUGGAGAGAAUGAAUGAUGGAAUAUUUGACUGAUGUAAUUUAUGGUGCUCCAUAUGACAGCCUAUUUCAGAGUGCUUGAGGUUUUUACAGUCUCUGGUAGUAGUACCUGCUGCUGAAACAAGAGAUUACUCUCCUUGGACAGACAGUAAUUUAAUAGUACAACUGUGUAGCUAGCCACCUCCUACUGUAUUUCACCACCCACUCCAGUCAGCUUUUGAUAGAUAGGCCUCAGCACUUGGAAUAUGAAGCACUAUGCAUCCUGCUUGAGGUCUUAGGAGAUACAUCAAGGGUGAAAAAAUGGAAAGAAAACAAAUAAAUAAAAGUAUUAGCAAAGUCAAGUAAGCACCGGUUCUCAGUUUUGUUGCUUUUACUGGAACUGUAUGCUGAAAGGAUGAAAUGUCCACUGUAUAUUGGAUGCUGCUAGCUUUUCAGGCAUAUGGUCAACACUGUCAAGAUUUCUGGUCUUGGAUGUUUCUUUUCUUGUUUGUUUCUUUGUUUUGAAUAUUUGACCACAAAAUUAUCUCAAUUCUCAAUAAAGUUACAUUUUAAGAAUCAAUGUAAAGCUAAUGUGCCUUUUCACUGAUAUAAAAUGCUGCUUACUCUGCAUAUAAAAGCAAAGUAGAUUGGAAUCUGCCAGGUUAAAAAAGGGUUUUUUUUCUCCAAGAGCCACAGUUCCAAACUGCAACUCUCAUACUUUGAUGCACUGACAGGCAUUCAGUGUGCUCCUCUAGUCUGUGAAGCAAGGUGGUCAGUGUCCUCACAGAAGAUGCAGGAAGGUUUUACUACCAGGGCUGAAAGUAUCAGCAGCACCAUGGGGUUUCCCUGCCUGUAGUUGGGGUGGCUGAAUGGGACUUGCAUCAUCUUUUCAGACACUGUACUAGAUAGUGAAACCAAUGGUGGGCUGUAUUUAAGGUUCUGGGCAGAGCCCGGACAGGCUUAGGGAGCAACUGUGUGUCAAGGAGUAUCAGGUAAUCUGGAGGUGCCUCCAAUGGCUGCUCACAACUAAUUUCUCCAUUUCUUCUCUUUUCCUUCUCUCCAGAGAGGCUCAGGGCUGAGCUCCUGCAAAAGUGUGGCAGUGGGAGCAGUAACAACUCUACUGGAUCACUUAUCUCUUCCACUCAAAAGGUUUCAAAGCCCAUAACUCCAAGUUACAAGCAAGAUCAUGGCACUGUUGGAGACAUGCCAUUGUACAGUUCUUAAAGGAACAAAAUCUAGGCCCAAAUGAUCUUUCUCCUGCCUUUAACUCUCCAUCUUCUGCCUUCUGCCUGCAAGAAGAACCCCAGAACUGUGUUGAUGAUGUAUUUUCAAUAUCAGGUUCACUGUUACUUCAGGAGAGAACUAAUAAAACUGCAGAUUUGAAACAAUUUAAACUUGAUCUAUUUAAUUACUGAAUUCUAAUAAAGCCUUUUUGAUUCGGA